GUCCUUUUGUAGUUCAUAAAAGGGAUGACGGGGUGUUCACGCUGUUGUGUGACGUGUGCCUCCCUCAGCAAGUGUAUUUUAACAACACAAACCACACACACGGCUCUGCGCCUUGCUUUUUUCACU
ensembl:snoRNA